AAGUACCUUCUGAGAAAUCAAAUUCUUUAGGUUCUGGGGAGUAUUAUCGCAAAACUUAAACUUAAAGGAAUUGACGGAAGGGCGGCACAUAUGUUAAACAGUAACGCAGGUGUCCUAUGGCAAAAUCAAAGAGAACAAAAUCUUUUAUAGACCAAAAGGGAAAAAGCUUGCUUUAUUUUGAUUCUCAGUGCGAGUGCAAACCGCGAAAGCGUGGCCUAUCGACCCUUUACUUUUUAAAAGUCAUUAGCCAGUUGCAUCAGAAAAAUUGCCACAUGGAGAACUGGCUUGUGUCAGCCAAGC
rnacentral:rRNA from 1 species